rnacentral:rRNA from 1 species
GGUUGAUCCUGCCAGUCGUUAUAUGCUUGUCUUAAAGAUUAAGCCAUGCAUGUGUAGUACACAUUGCCUUUAAAAUAAAGAGACUGCGGAAGGCUCAUUAAACCAGUUAUAAUUUACUUGAUUAUGACAUUAUUUUUUUUUGUUAAAAGAAGAUAAUCGAAAGAUUUUUUUUCUUUUAAUGAUAAAAAAAUAAUUUACAUGGAUAACUGUAGUAAUUCUAGAGCUAAUACAUGCUAAAAAUACUUCAUUUUUUGAAGUAACAUUAAAGAGAAUCUUUUAAAAUAAAAAAUUAA